CGUGCAGCGGUGGGGUCCCUCGGCCUGGCCUGCACCCUCUCGCAAUCCAGGACCUCUUGGGAGAUCUUGGAGAGCCGAUUUCAGCCCUAUCUCUGCAGGCCAGGCCGAGGGACCCCACCGGUGCACA
rnacentral:pre_miRNA from 1 species